rnacentral:rRNA from 1 species
AGGGCCGGGCAAAACCGGUGCCAGCCGCCGCGGUAACACCGGCGGCCCGAGUGGGUAUCGUUAUUAUUGGGUCUAAAGGGUCCGUAGCCGGUUUGGUCAGUCCUCCGGGAAAUCUGUCAGCUCAACUGAUAGGCUUUCGGGGGAUACUGCCAGACUUGGAACCGGGAGAGGUAAGAGGUACUACAGGGGUAGGAGUGAAAUCUUGUAAUCCCUGUGGGACCACCUGUGGCGAAGGCGUCUUACCUAGAACGGGUUCGACGGUGAGGGACGAAAGCUGGGGGCCCGAACC